rnacentral:rRNA from 1 species
CCUACGGGAGGCAGCAGUGAGGAAUAUUGGUCAAUGGAGGCAACCCUGAACCAGCCAAGUAGCGUGCAGGAUGACGGCCCUAUGGGUUGUAAACUGCUUUUAUGCGGGGAUAAACUGAGUCACGUGUGGCUUAUUGCAGGUACCGCAUGAAUAAGGACCGGCUAACUCCGUGCCAGCAGCCGCGGUAAUCCGGAAGGUCCGGGCGUUAUCCGGGUUUAUUGGGUUUAAAGGGAGCGCAGGCCGCCCCUUAAGCGUGUUGGGGAAAGGCGCGGCUCAACCGUGGCAAUGCAGUGCGAAAUGGGGAGCCUGGAGUAGAGGGGGGUAGGGCGAAUUUGGUGGGUAGUGGUGAAAUGCUUAGAAAACACGAAGAAAGCCGAUUGCGAAGGGAGCCUAACGAAGCGUUAAUGGAGCUGAGGGUCGAAGGUGCGGGUAACGAAAAGGAAUAGAAAACCCGAGUAGUC